AAGACACGACCGAAGGCAAAGAACCUGCCCUUGUCAGAUGCGGGAAUCAUCUUAGAGACGUAGAGCAUCAAAGGACCGUCUGGAUCACAGUUUCUGAUAGCUGCAGCAUACUUAUCAUCAAGGGGACCUUCAUACAAGUUCUCAACACGGUACCUCUGCGCAGUGUAGGGUGAUGGUAAGUGAAAGAUCAUCAUUUCAAGAAGAGCGGUACUCGCAGGAAGCCAUGCCUGCAUGACACGCUUCAUCAAAGGUCGGGGAGCCAGUUUUUGGUCGUCCAUUUUCUGGUUGCAGAAUCAAAGAAGUUCUCACCCCACAGCCUCUCCAUCAUUUUAGAUUCAGAGACACCAAACUUGGAAGCAUACAUCUUAGCAAAAUUGGUGAGAGUGAAAGCCCAUCCGUGGAGACCAGCAGAGAAAGCUACUGUCCCCUUUUCAGGGUAAACCUGAACAUCACCGAGGAGAGGAUCCUCAUGCGUGGCCAUGAUGACAUUAGCAUUCUCAAUGACCCUCUGGAAAUUCUGAUACGCCUCCUCACCAUCAACCUUAAGCUCAAGGAAACACCUGUCCAUCUUGUUGACAGUCAAAACAGGCCUAAUCCUUUCACCAAGAGAUUGCCUGAGCACAGUCUCAGUCUGCACACAAACACCUUCAAUGCAGUCAACAACCACAAGAGCACCAUCAGUGAUACGGAGAGCAGCUGUGACCUCUGAAGAAAAGUCAACGUGUCCAGGAGAGUCAAUGAGGUUGAUCAGGUACUCAUUGCCAUCUCUAGCUCCGGUGAAACUCUUCAGAGACGCAUCAGUCAUCUCAUAGUAGAGAGAGAUACCAGUGGACUUGAUGGUGAUACCACGUUCUGCCUCAUCAGCACGAGUAUCAGUCAUACGCACAUCACCCGCAGUUUCUUGAGCAAUGAUACCAGCAGCAGCAACAAGUGAAUCCGUAAGUGUAGAUUUCCCUAUCAUUAAAAGAUCACAAAACUUUUAUUUAGUAUCAAGUUUGAUAGAAAAAACACAUGCUUAGCAAACAUAUGUAUAAAAGAGCAAAUAUUUCAUCAACAAAAAAGAAACAGAA
rnacentral:misc_RNA from 1 species